UGCGACCGUAGUCUAUCGGUAUGAUUCGAGAUUGCCAAUCUCGCGGGCCGGGUUCAAUUCCCGGCGGUCGCAU
rnacentral:tRNA from 1 species